CUUACUUUGUCUGACCACCUAUAAAAAAUAAUAAACAUGGAUAAACGAUUGUUCUCUGCACCCUGCAUAUGACAAAAGUAUACAUAUAAAGUACCUUGAUGUUUUGACACAACUUUGGCUGAAAAAAGUCUAAUUUCUAAUACUGGUCAAAGACAGGUCUUCCAUAUAAAUUUAAGAGUAAUUCCUUUGUCUUUUAAAGCUGACUAAAAGUGCCUGCCCAUGUAUUAA